UGCCAGCAGCCGCGGUAAUACGAAGGGGGCAAGCGUUGUUCGGAAUUACUGGGCGUAAAGGGCGCGUAGGCGGUCUGUCUAGUCAGGGGUGAAAUCCCGGGGCUCAACCCCGGAACUGCCUUUGAUACUGACAGGCUAGAGUCCGGAAGAGGGUGGUGGAAUUCCCAGUGUAGAGGUGAAAUUCGUAGAUAUUGGGAAGAACACCAGUGGCGAAGGCGGCCACCUGGUCCGGUACUGACGCUGAGGCGCGAAAGCGUGGGGAGCAAACAGGAUUAGAUA
rnacentral:rRNA from 1 species